UACGUAGGGUGCAAGCGUUGUCCGGAAUUAUUGGGCGUAAAGCGUACCGAUAGGUGGUUUUACAAGUCAGAAGUGAAAUCUCUCAGCUUAACUGGGAGUCUGUCUUUUGAAACUGUAAAACUAGAGGGGCAAAGAGGAAGCUGGAACGAACGGUGUAGUAGUGAAAUGCGUUGAUAUCGUUCGGAACACCAAUAGCGUAGGCAAGCUUCUGGGUGCCACCUGACACUGCUAGGACGAAAGCGUGGGGAGCGAAUGGG
rnacentral:rRNA from 1 species